CUCCGUGGUUGCCAGCCUAGGUCACGUGACGGCCAAGAUGGCGGCGCACAUGUGAACUGUGUUUCGACAAGACCUGGCAGUCGUCACUGCACUUUUUGUUGUCAAGCAGGGCCAGUAUAUGUGAAUGAUUGAAAAGUAUGCCAAUCACGAAGCACGAAGAGAAAAUGGUUGAUUUGCAGCAUCAACUACGAGAAAAUCAACAUGAUGUUGAGGAGUUUUUGUCAGAUAUGCAAAACUGGGAAACACGUAUGCGAAAGAAAGACACUAAUUUGAAGAUGGAGGGACCAGUCAUUGAAGCUCAACUUCCACCUGUCCGCAAUACAUUAGAUCAGAAAAAACUGAGGAAAAAGAAGAAAAGGACAACUGAAAGAGUACAAAACAAACCAAAACGAAUAAGCAGCUAUGACUAUCUUUCGUGGGACACAUUUGAUGUUAACAAGGCCAUAGAGGAGGUAGACAGACAGAAAGAUUCCUCCUCAGAAUAUGAGACAGAUGAGGAAUGGGAUACAGAAAGGAAAAAACACCUGGCAGAGGAAGAAAAGGAAAAGGGAAAUGCCUAUUUCCGGGGAGGAGAGUAUGACCAAGCCAUUGAACAUUAUUCACGUGGCCUCCAGCUUGAUCCUACCAACCAUCUACUUCCAGCAAACAGAGCAAUGGCCCUCAUCAAACAAAAAAAGUUUGCAGCAGCUGAAGUAGAUGCUACAACAGCUAUCUCCCUUGACCCCCUGUACGUUAAAGCUUACAUGCGUCGGGCAUCAGCCAUGGUGGGACUAACCAAGUUUGAAUUAGCAAGGGCUGACUAUGAGAGAAUUCUUAACCUUGAACCACAGAACAAACUUGCAAAAGCUGAACUGGAGAAAACUGAAAAGGAGUUAAUGCGAUCUGUGUCGAGGCAUCCAGAAGAAAAAUUGUUUACUCAAGAGCCUGGAAUCAUCAGUCCAUUGCACAAGUCAUCAGAAUGUAGAUCAAUGAAAUCUCUGAGAAGAAUUGCAAUUGAAGAAGUUGGGAUAGAAAGUCAAGGAGAUGAUGUUGUCACCACAACAUUUAAACAGAGUAAAUCGCUGCAAAGAAUAACUGAAAAAGAUAACAGGAUGUUUCAGAAAUUUGUGUCUAAAUCAGAUUCUCUAGCAAAAUCAGUUAAACCUAAAGCUGUUGAGAAACUUGGAGAUUCUGAAUCAAAACAGAGAAAUGCCCUCAGUGAUGCAGAAGAAGGACAUUCAUCAAGCAGUGUAAGCUUGGCAACUGAUGGAACAUUCUCAGAAUCAUCAGACGACAUGUCAGGAAAAAGUGUCCCGCAGACUUCAUAUCAUUUCCAGUCUGAUUACAAAGUGCUGAAGCACAACAAGGAAGCUUUCUUUCACUAUUUCAAGAGGAUUGCUCCAUCUACUUUUCCAACUCUAUUUGGGGAGAUGCUGGAUUCAGACAUACUUGUCAACAUUCUGGCAGUCUUUAAAGAAUUUUAUGUUCCGUGACAGCUUUGAAGAACAUCUUGUGAGUCUCACCAGAGUUAAGAGAUUUGAAAUGACAGCAUUGUUUUUGUCAGAGAGGGAGAAACAACUUGUAUCAAACCUGAUUGCU
rnacentral:misc_RNA from 1 species